UACGUAGGGUGCAAGCGUUAAUCGGAAUUACUGGGCGUAAAGCGUGCGCAGGCGGUUAUUUAAGUCAGGUGUUAAAGCCCUGGGCUUAACCUAGGAAUUGCGCUUGAGACUGGAUAGCUUGGAGUGCGGCAGAGGGAGGUGGAAUUCCACGUGUAGCAGUGAAAUGCGUAGAGAUGUGGAGGAACACCGAUGGCGAAGGCAGCCUCCUGGGCCAGCACUGACGCUCAUGCACGAAAGCGUGGGGAGCAAACAGG
rnacentral:rRNA from 1 species